CACAUUUUAUGCAGAGCUAGACCGCCACAGUUUUCACCUGAUGACUUUAUAUCGACAGAGAGCAGCGAAGACUGGAAAAACUGCUGAUGCACUUGCUGAAUUUCUUCGGGUUUAUGACUGAAAGGAUCAACAUGAUGUACACACAAGGCGAACAACAGUGCUCUGUGCACUUCCUGUGUAUCUGAGAGAAGACACCUCAAAAUUCUUUAAAACAUGCACGAUUGAAGAUGAUUCAGAAGAGCCAGAUGUUGAUUCAUCAAGUUGCCUAUAGUUGCCCGUUUGACAGUCGUCCGAGAACGCCCAGACAUUGCUGUUCAGUACAAUCCAGAGAAGAUUUCGGUCAUCCUUGAGAAUGAAGUUGUCAUAACAAACCUUCAGAGACUCUCUGAUGCUUUCCUUUUGAUGUUUGGCUUAAUCUAUGCAUUGGAUCUCUCAUAUCCAAAAGAGAUGGCCAACACAUUUGAGUUUAUUCAGAAGGUUCUUUUGGGUCUUGAUGAUGGCAAACUUAAGCCAAGGGUGCUGGCUCUAAAGAAUGACUUGCUGAUUCAUGCACAGUAAUUUUAUACUGUUGUCUUUGACCAGGUGUGCCUUUUUGUUGCACAGAACUGUUGUCACAGUUCUUGUUGGC